rnacentral:rRNA from 1 species
GGGCCCGCACAAGCGGUGGAGCAUGUGGUUUAAUUCGAUGAUACGCGAGGAACCUUACCAGGACUUAAAUGUAAGUUGCAUGAUUCAGAAAUGAAUCUUUCUUCGGACUACUUACAAGGUGCUGCAUGGUUGUCGUCAGCUCGUGCCGUGAGGUGUCAGGUUAAGUCCUAUAACGAGCGCAACCCCUAUCGUUAGUUGCCAUCAAGUAAAGUUGGGAACUCUAGCGAAACUGCCGGUGUAAACCGAGAGGAAGGUGGGGAUGACGUCAAAUCAUCACGGCCCUUACGUUCUGGGCUACACACGUGCUACAAUGGUCGGUACAGAAAGCAGCCACUUCGCAAGAAGGAGCG